AUUGAACGCUGGCGGCAUGCUUUACACAUGCAAGUCGAACGGCAGCGCGGGCUUCGGCCUGGCGGCGAGUGGCGAACGGGUGAGUAAUGCAUCGGAACGUGCCCAGUAGUGGGGGAUAGCCCGGCGAAAGCCGGAUUAAUACCGCAUACGACCUGAGGGUGAAAGCGGGGGACCGAAAGGCCUCGCGCUAUUGGAGCGGCCGAUGUCGGAUUAGCUAGUUGGUGGGGUAAAGGCUUACCAAGGCGACGAUCCGUAGCUGGCCUGAGAGGACGACCAGCCACACUGGGACUGAGACACGGCCCAGACUCCUACGGGAGGCAGCAGUGGGGAAUUUUGGACAAUGGGGGCAACCCUGAUCCAGCCAUGCCGCGUGCGGGAAGAAGGCCUUCGGGUUGUAAACCGCUUUUGUUCGGGAAGAAAUCCUCUGGGCUAAUACCCCGGGGGGAUGACGGUACCGGAAGAAUAAGCACCGGCUAACUACGUG
rnacentral:rRNA from 1 species